GUGCACCAGUCGCGAAAACUCCGCAAUACGCGAAAGCGUGACGGGGCUACCCCGAGCGUCGUCCGCUGAGGACGACUUUUCCCUAGUGUAGAUAGCUGGGGGAAUAAGGAGAGGGCAAGUCUGGUGUCAGCCGCCGCGGUAAUACCAGCUCUCCGAGUGGUGGGGAUGUUUAUUGGGCCUGAAGCAUCCGUAGCUGGCUGAGCAAGUUCUCCGUUAAAUCCAGCGAUUUAAUCGUUGGACUGCGGAGGAUACUGUUCGGCUAGGGGGCGGAAGAGGCCGACGGUAUUCUCGGGGUAGGGGUGAAAUCCUAUAAUCCCGGGAAGACCACCAGUGGCGAAGGCUGUCGGCUAGAACGCGCCCGACGGUGAGGGAUGAAAGCUGGGGGAGCGAACCGGAUUAGAUACCCGGGUAGUCC
rnacentral:rRNA from 1 species